rnacentral:rRNA from 1 species
AACGAACGCUGGCGGCAGGCCUAACACAUGCAAGUCGAGCGAGGACUUCGGUUCUAGCGGCGGACGGGUGAGUAACGCGUGGGAAUGUGCCCUUCUCUACGGAAUAGCCCUGGGAAACUGGGAGUAAUACCGUAUACGCCCUUUUGGGGAAAGAUUUAUCGGAGAAGGAUCAGCCCGCGUUGGAUUAGGUAGUUGGUGGGGUAAUGGCCUACCAAGCCGACGAUCCAUAGCUGGUUUGAGAGGAUGAUCAGCCACACUGGGACUGAGACACGGCCCAGACUCCUACGGGAGGCAGCAGUGGGGAAUCUUAGACAAUGGGGGCAACCCUGAUCUAGCCAUGCCGCGUGAGUGAUGAAGGCCUUAGGGUUGUAAAGCUCUUUCAGCUGGGAAGAUAAUGACGGGACCAGCAGAAGAAGCCCCGGCGAACUCCGU